rnacentral:snRNA from 1 species
UUUGUAUUUUCGUAAUAAAAAAAAAAAAAAAAAAAAAAAAAAAAUCUGUUCUUAUCAGUUUAAUAUCUGAUACGUCCCCCAUCGGGGGACCACAUAUUAAACGGAUUUUUGGAACAGGG